rnacentral:rRNA from 1 species
UACGAAGGGGGCUAGCGUUGUUCGGAAUCACUGGGCGUAAAGCGCACGUAGGCGGAUCUUUAAGUCAGGGGUGAAAUCCCGAGGCUCAACCUCGGAACUGCCUUUGAUACUGGGGAUCUCGAGUCCGGGAGAGGUGAGUGGAACUGCGAGUGUAGAGGUGAAAUUCGUAGAUAUUCGGAAGAACACCAGUGGCGAAGGCGACUGACUGGACAAGUAUUGACGCUGAGGUGCGAAAGCGUGGGGAGCAAACAGG